rnacentral:rRNA from 1 species
UACGGAGGGGGCGAGCGUUAUUCGGAAUUAUUGGGCGUAAAGGGCGCGUAGGCGGCUUUACAAGUCAAAGGUGAAAUCCCUCGGCUCAACUGAGGAACUGCCUUUGAAACUGUAAGGCUUGAGUCCGGGAGGGGGUAGCGGAAUUCCCAGUGUAGCGGUGAAAUGCGUAGAUAUUGGGAGGAACACCAGUGGCGAAGGCGGCUACCUGGACCGGAACUGACGCUGAUGCGCGAAAGCGUGGGUAGCAAACGAGG